AUACGGAGGGUGCAAGCGUUAAUCGGAAUUACUGGGCGUAAAGCGCACGCAGGCGGUUUGUUAAGUCAGAUGUGAAAUCCCCGGGCUCAACCUGGGAACUGCAUCUGAUACUGGCAAGCUUGAGUCUCGUAGAGGGGGGUAGAAUUCCAGGUGUAGCGGUGAAAUGCGUAAAGAUUUGGAGGAAUACCGGGGGCGAAGGCGGCCCCCUGGACGAAGACGGACGCACAGGUGCGAAAGCGGGGGGAGCAAACAGGAUUAGUUACCCUGGUAGUCCACGCCGUAAACGAUGUCGACUUGGAGGUUGUGCCCUUGAGGCGUGGCUUCCGGAGCUAACGCGUUAAGUCGACCGCCUGGGGAGUACGGCCGCAAGGUUAAAACUCAAAUGAAUUGACGGGG
rnacentral:rRNA from 1 species